rnacentral:rRNA from 1 species
CAAGGCCGGAGGAAGGUGGGGAUGACGUCAAGUCAUCAUGCCCCUUAUGUCCUGGGCUGCACACGUGCUACAAUGGCCGGUACAAUGGGCUGCGAUACCGCGAGGUGGAGCGAAUCCCAUAAAACCGGCCCCAGUUCGGAUCGAAGGCUGCAACUCGCCUUCGUGAAGUCGGAGUUGCUAGUAAUCGCGGAUCAGCAUGCCGCGGUGAAUACGUUCCCGGGCCUU